GGAUCUCUCGCGCCCGUUCCCUGGAGACUGGGAGGACCGCUGACUGCGCCUCCUGGAGAUUGGGAGGACUGCUCACAGCGCCCCUGGAGACUGAACGGACCGCUCACCCCCGCCCCCUGGCGGUCGCAAGGAGUGGCAUCUUAAAAUAUCCAAACUAAACUGGUCUUCAAAUUAGAGAGUCAACUGAAAUGGAAAUGAAAAGAUUUAUGUUUUGCAAAACAUUAUCUACCACAAACUCCAACGCCCAUGGUGUGUGUGCAGGUGUGAGACACAGUGAAAGACACAAGGUGCACGAUUCUUUAUUCAAAUUUCCACCACCAGGAAGAUAGGAAAACACCGGAGUGGCCAGUAUCGAGCACUGUGUCACAUCAAAGGGCAAUGCUGUGUGACUCAGGAUUCUUCUCAACUUGGUUGCUAUUAUGGGACAUUUCUCUACACAACGCAUGGAUGACAUUUCCUGUUUGAUGCCUUAAAAGCUAUUUAACAUUAGCACCUUGCAGUGCUGACACACUGUCUUACUGCUGCUUUUCCCUAGAACCUUUUAUGUGUGGAUAUUUUUAAAGUAGAGUUACUUGAAGACAUCAUCAUGGGUGCAAUCAUGUAGAUAAUGAAACAUUUAGAGUCAUAGAGAUAUAUAGCAUAGAAACAGACCCUUCGGUCACACUUGGCCAUGCUGACCAGAUAUCCUAAAUUAAUCUAGUCCCAUUUGCCAGCACUUAAAGUAGAGUACAGUAGCUUUAUUUGUUGUGUCUACCAUAUACAGCUGAUACAAUAAAAACAAGGCAGCGUUCCUCCAGGACCUAGGUGCUAUAUGAACACAGAGACUACACAAGAGUACAGUCACACACAGGGCAGCAUGAAGUGCAUAGAAAAGUGCAAACCAUGCAAGGCAGAAGAGUAAUUCCUGACAAGACAAGACAAUAGGCACAGUGGUGGACAAAUUACAAUGUAACAAUGAAUGACCAUGAAUAAAACAUUGUUUUAGCAGCAAUUCAAAAAGUCAUCCGAAAAUUGCAAAUGGAAUAGAGUGUAAUUCGGGGAAGAAACUAUUGUACAGUCUGGCCGUAAGAGACUGAAUGCUCCGGUAUCUUCUGCUAGAUGGCAGGAGCAAGAAGAAUUCACAUGAAGGAUGUAUGGAGUCGUCCACAAUGCUAUUAGUUUUGUGGAGUAAAUGUCUGUAAUGGAGGGAAGAGAGACCCUGAUGGUCUUCUCAGCUGUCCACACUAGCCGUUGUAGGAUCUCACAAUCUGAGACAGUGCAAUUCCCAAGUGAAGCAGUGAUGCAACUGCUCAGGGUACUCUCAAUGAGCCCUCUGCAGAAUGUGGUGAGGAUGGGGGGGUGGGAGGUGGACUUUCCUCAACCGAUGCAAAAAGUAGAGAUUCUCCUGGGCUUUCUUGGUAAUGGAAAUGGUGUUGAGGGACCAGAAGAGAUUCUCCACCAGGUGAAUGCCAAGUAAUUUAGUGCUAUUCAUGAUCUCCACUAGGGAGCCAAUGUCCGGUGAAAAUGAUCGCUCCAUGGCCUCCUGAAGUCAACAACCAUCUCUUUAUUUUG